rnacentral:rRNA from 1 species
AAUCUUGGACAAUGGGGGAAACCCUGAUCCAGCCAUCCCGCGUGUAUGAUGAAGGCCUUCGGGUUNUAAAGUACUUUUGGCAGCGANGAAAAGGUAUCUCCUAAUACGAGAUACUGGUGACGGUAUCUGAAGUAUAAGCAAUGGCUAACCGCGUCCUAGCAGCCUCGGUAAUACGUAGGGUGGAAGCGUUAAUCGGAAUUCCUGGGCGUAAAGCGUGUGUAGGCGGUUCGGAAAGGAAGAUGUGAAGUCCCAGGGCUCAACCUUGGAACUGCAUUUUUCACUGCCGACCUAGAGUAUGUCAGAGGGAGGUAGAAUUCCACGUGUAGCAGUGAAAUGCGUAGGUAUGUGGAGGAAUGCCGAUGGCGAAGGCAGCCCCCUGGGAUAAUACUGACGCUCAGACACGAAAGCGUGGGGAGCAAACAGG